UACGUAGGGUGCGAGCGUUAAUCGGAAUUACUGGGCGUAAAGCGUGCGCAGGCGGUUUUGUAAGCCAGAUGUGAAAUCCCCGGGCUCAACCUGGGAAUGGCAUUUGGGACUGCAAGGCUGGAGUGCGGCAGAGGAGACUGGAAUUCCUGGUGUAGCAGUGAAAUGCGUAGAUAUCAGGAGGGAUACCGAUGGCGAAGGCAGGUCUCUGGGCUGACACUGACGCUCAUGCACGAAAGCGUGGGGAGCAAACAGG
rnacentral:rRNA from 1 species